rnacentral:lncRNA from 1 species
UUACGAGUGGACUGAUUUUUCCAAGAUUGAUUCCCACGUGGGCGUUGUUGAUUGCGAUUAUUGGAGUUGGAGUUCUUGUAAGUAGCAACGUUUACAGACACUGGUACCGUGGUGGAAGCAGCAAGAAGCGUUUUGAGCCGUAACUCAUGAUUAAUCAAUUUUUCAUGAAUCUCCGUCAACCUUGGUGAUUUCUCACAACCCGC